rnacentral:rRNA from 1 species
AUUGCCUUAGUAGCGGCGAGUGAAGCGGCAAAAGCUCAAAUUUGAAAUCUGGCUCUUUCAGAGUCCGAGUUGUAAUUUGAAGAAGGUAUCUUUGGGUCUGGCUCUUGUCUAUGUUUCUUGGAACAGAACGUCACAGAGGGUGAGAAUCCCGUGCGAUGAGAUGAUCCAGGCCUAUGUAAAGUUCCUUCGAAGAGUCGAGUUGUUUGGGAAUGCAGCUCUAAGUGGGUGGUAAAUUCCAUCUAAAGCUAAAUAUUGGCGAGAGACCGAUAGCGAACAAGUACAGUGAUGGAAAGAUGAAAAGAACUUUGAAAAGAGAGUGAAAAAGUACGUGAAAUUGUUGAAAGGGAAGGGCUUGAGAUCAGACUUGGUAUUUUGUAUGUUACUUCUUCGGGGGUGGCCUCUACAGUUUAUCGGGCCAGCAUCAGUUUGGGCGGUAGGAGAAUUGCGUUGGAAUGUGGCACGACUUCGGUUGUGUGUUAUAGCCUUCGUCGAUACUGCCAGCCUAGACUGAGGACUGCGGUUUAUACCUAGGAUGU